UGCGCGUUGGUUUGCCUCCUUUUCUCUCCCGGUUUUUCUCCUUGAACUUCCUUAUGGCGGUGAUCGCCGAACUCUAUUUUGAUUAAAUCGGUCUGUUUUGGUAUUUAUUCUUCUCAGAGUUUUCACAGAAGUUUCGGUACCGUUCAAUGUUGAACAUCGUGAGUAUGGGGUCUCUUCUGGGUUAAUUAAUUUGUGCGGAUGGACAGAUGGUUCUUUUGGGUUCCCUUCCUCUUUUACGAGUUCUAUAUUUCUUGUUUUGUUUUGGAACUUUCUAGGAUAUUUCAAUAUAUGGUUUCUGACUGCAGUGAUGUUGCUGGCUUUCCUUUUCUAAAGUGCUGAUCCCUGAAAAUUUCCUCACGGCCGUGAUCGCCACUAUCACUGGGGAUGUUUCUCCUUCCACGUUGUGAAUAAUUCUUUCUUUUGAAGUUAAUUAGUAAUAUGUCAGGAGAUGAAAGAUUAUUAGUACUUUUUGUGGAUUUUGGUAGGAAUUUUUCUGCAAUUUCUGCGGGUUAGUCACAUUAUGUUGGGAGUGUGAAAGAUUCUAUCUAUUGGAUCAAUGGAGUCUGAAGAGAAAAAGGGGUGCAUAGACGAUUAAUGAUCAUAGUCAAUGUUAUGUCUUCACCUGAUAACUCAUAAAUCCUAUGUUUUACAGCAAUGGUAACCUUGCUCAGUGAUCUUCUUUAUGUGUUUGUGUUUUUUAAGGUGGGAAAGACAUUUUCAGAUUUCAAGUUUUUGCGCGUUCAAAUUUUGGGUUUUAGUAUCUGGACAUUUGCUACUGAACAGCUUUUUAUCAGCGGUGGAAAAUUGUUCAUCGCUUUUAUCAGUUUGCUUGAUGAAGGCUUUCAUGUGCAGUGGUUGGCUGGACUAUUGUAAUGGGGAAAAAUGAUAAGUCUUCAUUCUUGCUACUAAUUUCUUGUUCAUUGUUGCAAGAUCUUUUACUUUGAUCUUCUUGUUUUAAAAAAAAUAUAAAAAUUAAAGCUGUUUGCCCUUUGUGUGCUUUGUUUUUCAGUUGACCAUUUUUUCUCUUGGCAAAUCUUGACUCCUGAUUUUCAUAGGCAGUUUUUGACAACAGCAAUUUUGGAAAUUCUACCUUAAGCAGAUAACACAAAUACACAAUGGUUACUUGCAACUUUUUUAUAAAUAUUUUCGCACCCUUGAUUAGGAUUUCUUGGUUUUUAUUGAUUUGAGUGUCUUUUAACAGUUUUGUUUGAUCAGGUUCAGUUGGAUUUUCAAUUUUGGAAUCCUGCCUCAAUUCUCAAGGAGAUCGGCUUCCUGGUUCUUAUCGCAUCUCUUCAACAUUUUUAGUUUGGAGCUUUUAGCAUCCCGUGUAGUUAAUGUCACUGAGCAUUAUAUGACUUUUUGACCCUUUUAUUGUUUUAGAUGCUGAUGUGUUAUCAGUUUUCAAAAUUAAAAGCAGGAAGGGCAAGGAUGAAGGAUCUUCCUGCAGUUGGAGUAGGGUGCUUCGUCAAAUGUUUUUCGUGCACUGCGUUGUCAAAUGUUUUUCAUACACCCUUUUUUAUUCUUUGUUUUGGAAGUUCUUAAUUUUAGGUUUUUGUGCAGUAUGUUGCUAUUGAUUGCUUUCUAUGCUUACAUAUUCCUGAUUCUGAGGCGGGCUGUUGUUAGAAAUUACGACCAUUACGUAGGGAGAAUGAGAUCAUAUAUAGCUUUGUUAUCUCUUUCCUGGAUGGAGCUUCGGAUGGAGGGAUUGGGUAAGUAGAUGAGGAGGCAAGGCCAAUUAAUUGUUUAUGUCUUACAUUUACCCAAAAUCUGCUUAAUAUAACUCAAGAUAAGUACAGGUUUGUCCUGUAGAUUUAGGUUUGGAAAGAUUCUGGUGGUCGCUUGUCUCAAAAGGUUGUGGGCAACCUUGCUGGUUGGGAGAGUAAUCUUAUUCAGAUGUUUCUCUUGUGUUCAUGAUAUGUACGAAUACUUUUGUGAUUGUAGGUAGCAGAUAUUUCUCUGGUUUUUAAAGCUCUGCACUAACAUAUAUUUCAGUUGUGCUUUCAUUUCUUGGAUUUGUGAAGUUUGGUUUUAAUUUGUAAUUUUUACUACAUGUUGGUUGGGCUUUACCAAUGGAGAUAUUUUUACUAAGCCAUCAUUUCUGCUGUGGAUUCCUGUGUUCUGUGUAAUUAUAACUUUCACCUCUUUGCACAGUUUUUUUUUUCCCUCUUAAUUGUUUGCACCUUUUUUUAGGACUCUUGGUUUCUAAGACGUCCAUUGGAUUUCCUUGGAUUUUCAUAUCUCCCUGAUAUUCUUAGUUUUGGAGGAUCCUGUUUUGGUACUGAGCGUGAUACAACUUUAUGACCCUUUUAUUUUCAGACGCUGUUUGUGGAUUUUGCUUUAUGACCCUUUUAUUGCAAAAUUGUAAGGAUGAAGGAUUUUGCUUUUGCUUGGUUUUAAAAUCUGAUUUGCGUUUUUGCUUAUAGGCAGCAGAUGUGAAGCUUGUUAGAAAUUUUACUUGCAAUUUUCUUUCUUUCUUUUGGUUAUAUUUUUAUUGUAUUGUGCAAAAUUGUAAGGAUGAAGGAUUUUGCUUUUGCUUGGUUUUAAAAUCUGAUUUGCAUUAUUGCUUUGAAGGUAGAUAGUUUAUAAAAGUAUAGGCAGCAGACAUGAAGCUUGUUAGGAAUUUUACUUGCAAUUUUUUUUCGUUAUUUAGGUUAUAUUUUAAUUGUAUUGCAGAAGAUAAAUGUGUGGAAGAUGUGGCCAUUGGUUAAGGACUCCAAACAGAUGCUGUUUGGGGUUAUCAAUCUUCAGAGCUAAAAGGACAAGGAUAAAGGAUAAAUGAUCUUGCAGCAGUUGGAAUAGGGUUUUACCAAAGGCAAUUUUUAUUGUUGUUUGUGUUUCUUUUUUCAGUAUUCUUUGUUCCUUGGCAGCCAGUUUUGCACUUUUGGAGUUGGAUUAGAAUUUUUUUUAUUUAAAGUAGGAAUAUAAAAUGGAUUUGGUGUGAAUCCUGGAUGCUGUAUUUCUGGUCAACAGUCUUGGAAUUUUGAAUGGCAAUUGUUUUGUGGGAAGUAUGCCAUGUUAUUAUUUGACCUUGCAAUGGUAGUUUGUAAAUUUUUUCAGGCCUUUGAUCAGAUCUGUUUUUCAUAUUAAUAUAUGAUUCUUCAUUUUGCUGUGUUCCUUUCUUUUUGGGAUUUCAUAAUG